rnacentral:rRNA from 1 species
CGCGUAGGCGGGCUGUCAAGUCUGGGGUGAAAUCCCACGGCUCAACCGUGGAACUGCCUUAGAUACUGACGGCCUCGAGGGAGAUAGGGGCGAGCGGAACUGUGAGUGGAGCGGUGAAAUGCGUUGAUAUUCACAGGAACUCCGGUGGCGAAGGCGGCUCGCUGGAUCUUUUCUGACGCUGAGGCGCGAAAGCUAGGGGAGCAAACG